ACCUGACUUUGUCACAACACCUAUAAAGUCUGUGGACAAUAUCAACCAGGGAGGGGUUGAAAGUGCUUUGGAAGGUUAUCUGAAGAGAAUGAUCAGUGAAAUGGAGCAAAACACAUAUGUAUAUGGAGGAUGAAUAUAAGUGCCAGUCUUCCUCCUGACUGAGAAAAACAACUAACCACACAUUUCUGCUGGAUCUUAUCACUGAAUUCAGUGCAAUCCCCUUGACCAGGGAAAGUCACUACAGAUUGGUCAAGCUGUUUUGGACAAGUCAAAAGCAGAUGAACCCAAGAAAGGUUUCAUUAGUCAGAAAUAUGUGAUAUGCAGACAGAUGUGGAAACUGACAUAGUGAUGUAUGUUUGCUGUCUUAAUUUACCACAG